UCCUCCAAGGCUAAAUACUCCUGACUGACCGAUAGUGAACCAGUACCGUGAGGGAAAGGCGAAAAGAACCCCGGCGAGGGGAGUGAAAAAGAACCUGAAACCGUGUACGUACAAGCAGUGGGAGCACGCUUAGGCGUGUGACUGCGUACCUUUUGUAUAAUGGGUCAGCGACUUAUAUUCUGUAGCAAGGUUAACCGAAUAGGGGAGCCGAAGGGAAACCGAGUCUUAACUGGGCGUUAAGUUGCAGGGUAUAGACCCGAAACCCGGUGAUCUAGCCAUGGGCAGGUUGAAGGUUGGGUAACACUAACUGGAGGACCGAACCGACUAAUGUUGAAAAAUUAGCGGAUGACUUGUGGCUGGGGGUGAAAGGCCAAUCAAACCGGGAGAUAGCUGGUUCUCCCCGAAAGCUAUUUAGGUAGCGCCUCGUGAAUUCAUCUCCGGGGGUAGAGCACUGUUUCGGCAAGGGGGUCAUCCCGACUUACCAACCCGAUGCAAACUGCGAAUACCGGAGAAUGUUAUCACGGGAGACACACGGCGGGUGCUAACGUCCGUCGUGAAGAGGGAAACAACCCAGACCGCCAGCUAAGGUCCCAAAGUCAUGGUUAAGUGGGAAACGAUGUGGGAAGGCCCAGACAGCCAGGAUGUUGGCUUAGAAGCAGCCAUCAUUUAAAGAAAGCGUAAUAGCUCACUGGUCGAGUCGGCCUGCGCGGAAGAUGUAACGGGGCUAAACCAUGCACCGAAGCUGCGGCAGCGACGCUGAUGCGUUGUUGGGUAGGGGAGCGUUCUGUAAGCCUGUGAAGGUGUGCUGUGAGGCAUGCUGGAGGUAUCAGAAGUGCGAAUGCUGACAUAAGUAACGAUAAAGCGGGUGAAAAGCCCGCUCGCCGGAAGACCAAGGGUUCCUGUCCAACGUUAAUCGGGGCAGGGUGAGUCGACCCCUAAGGCGAGGCCGAAAGGCGUAGUCGAUGGGAAACAGGUUAAUAUUCCUGUACUUGGUGUUACUGCGAAGGGGGGACGGAGAAGGCUAUGUUGGCCGGGCGACGGUUGUCCCGGUUUAAG
rnacentral:rRNA from 1 species